rnacentral:lncRNA from 1 species
UUUUUUUUAAACCUGACCCCAGAGUAUGCCAGAUCCGCCACAAAUACAGGAAUUCCACUGUUCACAUGGACAGAGUCUCCCCUGUAUUUGCACGGCGUCGCACAAGUACAAGAUGUAAAGCAGAAUACAACCACAACUAAAUGAACAUAAAAAUAUCCAUACAUUCAUACAUUCAUACACCAUUCACCACAGGUUCAAAUACAGAGUUCUGAUUAUAAAUCCACAACUAUCAGUUAAAACGUUUCCAACUCAGAAAUGGGUUUUGAAAUACUAAGUUACAAAAGCCACG